rnacentral:rRNA from 1 species
UACGAAGGGGGCUAGCGUUGUUCGGAAUUACUGGGCGUAAAGCGCGCGCAGGCGGUUUUCCAAGUCAGUGGUGAAAGCCCGGAGCUCAACUCCGGAACUGCCAUUGAAACUGUUAAACUUGAGGACGAGAGAGGUGAGUGGAAUUCCCAGUGUAGAGGUGAAAUUCGUAGAUAUCGGGAGGAACACCGGUGGCGAAGGCGGCGACUCGGUGAGAUAUGACGCUGAGGUGCGAAAGCGUGGGGAGCAAACAGG